GUGAGGAAUUUUCCGCAAUGGGCGAAAGCCUGACGGAGCAAUGCCGCGUGAAGGAUGAAGGCCUAUGGGUUGUAAACUUCUUUUCUUAGAGAAGAAUAUUGACGGUAUCUGAGGAAUAAGCAUCGGCUAACUCUGUGCCAGCAGCCGCGGUAAUACGAAGGUCCCAAGCGUUGUUCGGAUUUACUGGGCGUAAAGAGUCUGUAGGCGGCGGGGUAAGUCAGAUGUGAAAUCCCGGGGCUCAACCCCGGAACUGCAUCCGAUACUGCCUUGCUAGAGUAUUGGAGGGGAGUCUGGAAUUCUCGGUGUAGCAGUGAAAUGCGUAGAUAUCGAGAGGAACACUAGUGGCGAAGGCGAGACUCUGGACAAUUACUGACGCUGAGAGACGAAGGCCAGGGGAGCGAAAAGGAUUAGAAACCCCUGUAGUCC
rnacentral:rRNA from 1 species